rnacentral:precursor_RNA from 10 species
GGUCCGAAGAGAAACAGUUUCGUGAGUGAGACAUAUUUCUUUGCAGACCGUAAUGGCAUUCGAUAGCUUUAUGGAAUGUAAAGAAGUAUGCAACAUUCUCGGAAACAGGCAACGAAAAUCGGC